rnacentral:rRNA from 1 species
GAUGAACGCUGGCGGCGUGCCUAAUACAUGCAAGUCGAGCGAACAGACGAGGAGCUUGCUCCUCUGACGUUAGCGGCGGACGGGUGAGUAACACGUGGAUAACCUACCUAUAAGACUGGGAUAACUUCGGGAAACCGGAGCUAAUACCGGAUAAUAUAUUGAACCGCAUGGUUCAAUAGUGAAAGACGGUUUUGCUGUCACUUAUAGAUGGAUCCGCGCCGCAUUAGCUAGUUGGUAAGGUAACGGCUUACCAAGGCAACGAUGCGUAGCCGACCUGAGAGGGUGAUCGGCCACACUGGAACUGAGACACGGUCCAGACUCCUACGGGAGGCAGCAGUAGGGAAUCUUCCGCAAUGGGCGAAAGCCUGACGGAGCAACGCCGCGUGAGUGAUGAAGGUCUUCGGAUCGUAAAACUCUGUUAGUAGGGAAGAACAAAUGUGUAAGUAACUAUGCACGUCUUGACGGUACCUAAUCAGAAAGCCACGGCUAACUACGUG